UCUCAUGUGCCCUUCUUCACUGCCGUACAAGCGAUGACCAGGCGGCCACGAACAAGCACCCGUUGCAAGCAACGCCAUGCCCGGCGGAGACAUUCACCAAUGAGUGCUUCGUCCCUCCGGGAAACAGGAUCUUGGAUCUCAGGAACUCGCCGACCAAGCAGGAGGCUUUCAGUCUUUCACGCAGAAGGCUGGUGGUCCUCCGCGCCCGGCGCCAGGGCCUCCCUCUUCGUCGCACUGGGCCAUGACGGCGAGCCCGGGGGAGUGCGGCCACGCUGGCCUCAGCCCGCGCGAGCGACGCGUUCUACCGUCGUUCCCGGCAUGUCCUGGUCAAGCCGGUAAUCUCGCGCCCAUCCGGACCGCCGGUGCACUGCGGUAUCAUGCCACCGGAGCCCUCCGUCCCGCGUCGUCAUCGUGGGGAGCUGCUCGCCUCGGCAAUGCUAGUGCAGAAGGCGGGUCGGGCUUUUCACCAUCGCCAUUUAUGACGUAUUACAUUGUCGUCAAGAUGGGCACGCCGAGCGGUGACAACGUGGCACCCAGGGGUGUGGGGAUGGCGACGCCGCGAGCUCCCCGGCUGACCACCGGCGAUUUUGGAGAUCUACCUCGCCGGAGCCUAUCCGGUUCAGGUUGGACCGGUUCACACCAUCCGUGGAUGCCUCUCCAAAGAGAAGAUCAUUGGCCUCUCUCGCAUACAGGCCGCCAAGAAGCUAUUCCUUUGGGUUUGGAUUUUUGACAUUGUGGGCUUGCGGCGCAUCUCAAGGAGCCUUGGAGUUCGUCUCGGAGGUUUUGUCUGCAUCGCUAUUCGACAUGUGCCUGUCUGCGGCGCCAGCGUCGGCGUGCAGCUCGUGGCUGGGGUCAUCCAGGAACGUCCCUGCUUCCAAUUGCAGAGGCCGGCGCCCGAGCCCAGCCUGACUGCCUGGCGGCUGCUCUCCACGCCUACCGUCCGUCUCUUCCUCCGACGCCAACAACAGCGCUGGGUCUUUGCCCUCCUGAUGAAAAACGGUCAGGUGAUCCCUUUUAUUUUUCUCUUCUGGUCGCACUCUCAAUUUGGCUCACCUCCAUCCGUCCCUAAAUUCUCUUCUGGCUCUCCUAGCUUCUGUGGUAUAGGUCGUGCUGCUCAUGAUCAUCCCACUGUGCACCAACUGGCAAACUGAGGCAUUAUAUUUGCAAUCACCGUAACUUAGCCAUGCCAUUUUCGUUUUUA